rnacentral:misc_RNA from 1 species
CCCAUCAAAAACUUUCUUUUUUUAAAUUUAUUAAAUCGGUAAAUUAACAAAAAAAAAUCUUCAUAAAAUAUCUAAAUACCCUCGAAAGCUUACAUUCUUAUCAAAGAAUAAAAAAAAAUAUAAAAAUUCAAAAACCAUUAAAAAUUUUUCUUUAAAACACCUUACUUUACCCUAUUUCCAAAAAGCACCUCUUCCCAAAAAGUGUAACCAGCAUUUUGUGAACGAUUCAUGCUCUUGUGGGGAAACUGUAAAUUUAUGACUGUUUCGUGACGCAGCUGUCUCAAAAGCGUCUGCUACUGUUAAAGUUGUUCUCUAGCUGUUAAAAGUAAAAUUCGCGGGAGUCCUUGCUUCUGUGGUCUACGAAACUAUAGUCAAGCUUCCCAGCUGUUUCUGUUGAUCUGCAAUUUGUAAAUGGUAAAAUAAUAGCUUUCAGUCCAUUUGCUUCUCUUACAUAGAUUAGAAUUAAGAUAGAAUUCUUUAAAUCAGCUCCCUAACAAUCCAAAAAGAUGACGAUAACAUAGUGCUUUGUGAAUAGAAAGUGCAUGCUUCGAUUCUGGGCUAAACUAAAGCAAUAUUGCAGCAUCAGCAAUGGAUCCAAUGAGAAUAAUUCUGUACAUAAUUUUUCAUUGACCCAUAUCAUACAACGCAUAACCAGCUGACAAUUAAGAAUCUCAUUUAUAACUUAAAACCAGAUAUUCAAAUUAGUAACACCUACAACUACACUAGAGGAGGAAAAAUACAAAAGAACCCUACCAACCAAAGGUACAAUUUUCCAUGUGCCUCAGUAAAACUGUGAUGAGGAAUUGAUGACCAGCUAAACGGAAUGCUACUGCAAUCUUUGAGAGCAAUCCUUCGAUCAUUGACACCCCCUCCCACAAACUUACAUUCUCAAGUCUAACACACAUACUGUAUUGUUGGCAAAGCAUGCUGCAAUUUUGUCACCUUCCUUGUUCCAACAAACCUCAAAUAUUCCACCAUUGCCUGUGUACGUUUUCACGAUCUUAACUUCCUUCAAAGACCAGAUGUUGACACAUCUAUCAAGGGACCCACUAGCCAGAUACUCCCCAUUUGGGCUAAAUGCUACCGAGUACACAGGAUCCCUGGGGAUUCAAUUAAAAGACAGUUGCCAACAUCAAUUAAAAAUAGGGUAGCAUAAUUGAAAGAAUGGUCCUGCCACAUGAAGGUCUCGAAAAGAACAUUUUAUAAACCACAAGAUGAAUGUUGACUAACAAGAAUACACGAUAAUGUAACAGACACUUCUCAAUUUUGCAAGGUGCAUAGCCAGGACGUAACUUCCCUCCUAAUUCCCAUAAAAUCAGUUGUGUGAGUUACCUCGCUAGGAGUAAUUGCUGGUUAGGAUUGUUUGUACCAGGUCCAGUGGGGCUCCAUCUGAUGGUGUAGAUCUCCUUAGAAUGUUCCCUCAAAUCAUGAACAUAUUUGUCCUGCUUCAUGCUCCAUAUCUGCAGCACAAUUUCCCAUGAGCGGCUAACUAUUAAAAUAAAAUGCAACUAGUAAUAAACUGAAAGUAACAUAUCCAACUGACUUAAAAAAAGGCUUAUGGAUUAGGACAAGAUAAUCCCAAGUAACACGUGUACCUAGCUGGCACGAAACUAAAGAUGCAAUACACGUCCAUAAUUGAAGAAAAAUUCAGUGUAUAUAACCUUAGCAGUGAUAUCAUCAGAGCAUGAAGCCAGUAAUGAGCCAGUUGGAUCCCACUUGACACAAUUAACCUCACCCUGAAAUUGUACAACUCACAAAAAUUAACCCCAAAAAAAGCUGCAUAUUGUAACAGUUUUCCACAAAACCAGUUAAUCAGAUAACAAUCAUGUAGAUAAGAGGACUCAAUAUAUGGCUUUCUCUUUCACACAAACAACAAACUGGUAAAACAUUGUUGCACACCAGAUAAGGCCUCCACAGCUGUCAAACUGAAGUCUGGCCAGACUGGUGACAAGUUAAAUAUUUACAAGCAUAAAAUUGUUGUAAGCUAUUUUUUUCACCAGAUUGGAGGCAUAUUGAACUGAAAAAUCAUAGUCGCGAUUUAGGUUGCAGUAUUUAGCAGUUGAAUGCAGGAACAAACCUGAUGCCCAGCAAAAGUUUUAACCGGGCGGUUAUCUCCAACUUUGCAAACAUAUAUCAUAUUGUCUGUGGAGCUUGUGGCAAAUGAAAGAUUAUUGCGCCAGUCAACAUCAAGUAUAGGACCUAAAAGACACAAAUGUGAAAGUUCAAAUCCAACAAUAAUGAGUUACUGAAGGAAGAAAGGCCACUUGUUCUGGAGAUUUUACUGCAGUUUAAACCUGAAUGAAAUUCAAACUGUUGUCUCCAUUCCUCACUUUUCACAUCCCACACUAUCGCAGUUUUGUCACAGCUUCCAGUAAGAAGAAAAUCCCCUUUUUUAUUCCACUUCAGAGAAAAUAUAGGACCUUUGUGUUUGCUCAAUGUAGUCUUCAGUUCACCUGGACCAGGGGAAAUUUCCAGAAUGCAGUGAAAAGCUAAAUUACCAGCAUCACAAUUAACAACAGAAAUUAAUUUUCUCUAAAUUUCAAAAAAGAACUAAAAACACUACAUUAAUAAGAGAAGACUGCACUAGCUUUGGGCUCAUUAAGAAAACCAAUCUCAAGUCCAUGGUUUGACCCAUCAGCUUGAUUCCUCAAAAAUUCUGGUGGAAACAUUUAAUAUACAUAAAAGUUUUUGCUGUACUAGUUUUUCUAGGUGACUGAUUCAUUACAGCUGCCUACUGAAGUAUUGAUGUGAACGUGCUGUAUAUAUGGCUUCAUACACUAGGAACAAGAAACAGGCUCCACAAAAAGGAAGUAAUAUGCCAGCACACUCCAUUUGUUGGCUGCUAUUUGUAUAUAUUAAGCUUGUUGCAGGCCUUUUCAGGAGAAAUAGAGGGUCAUGAACCAAGUCAUGCUAAAAUAUCUUACCAUUUGUGUUCCAAAUUCUUGCUUGCCCGUCAUAUGAACCUGUUGCUAGUAAGGUUCCCUCACCAUUCCAAUCUAAUGUUGUAACAUCUUUGCUCUUCUCAUUCGUCCUUCCCUUUACAUGCUUCAAUACCAGCACAUUUAGAGGACUAUUCUGCAGACCAGAUCUAGAUGUCCCCUCUGCUAUUGUCCAAAUACGUGCUGUGGAAUCUCCAGAUCCAGAUGCAAGAAGUGAUCCUGUUGGGCUCCACGCACAGGCACAAACCUCAGAUGUAUGUCCCUCCAAAAUCAUCACAUCAGAACUUGGAAUCUCGCAUACCUGGGAUGUUGAUGUAGUAGAGACUUCCAUUGGUUCUGGUACUCCAGAAUUUCCAUUUUCCUCAUGUUUGACAUUAUUUUUAUCCGCUUGAUCAGCAACCAUUUCUUUAUCAGUAUUAUCCUCUUGCUGCUUUUCUCCCUCUUUUUCCUUUUCUACCCUCUCUCUAUCCUUUUCAUUUUCCUUCUCCCUUUCAUGCCUAUCCUUAUCCCUUACUCGUGCACGUUCUCUUUCAUGCUCCCUUUCAAAUUCUUUAUCUUUUUCUUUGUCCUGGUCUUUCUCUUUAUCUUUAUCUCUGUCCUUGUGCAGAUUUUUUUUCUUAUCCUUUAUCAUUUGCCGUAAUUCAUAUACAUCUUUUGUUAUAAGAUCCAAAGGUUGCAAGAAUGAGAAAUCUUCAUCCACAUCUGCAUCACCAUUACUCAAAUUUGCUUCCAUUUCCAAGUACUGAAUUCCCUUUUGUACAAAUGUAAUAAGAGCACCAGGAGGAACCAUAUUGCCAUCUAUGGUACAUUUGUUAAUACCUGCCUCAUAUCCUAAAGCAAAAGCUGAAUGUGUAAAAC